UCGAGAAUCUUCCACAAUGGACGAAAGUCUGAUGGAGCGACGCCGCGUGAUUGAUGAAGCGAUUCGUCGUGUAAAGAUCUUUUAUGAGGGAAGAAGUUUAUUGACUGUACCUCAUGAAUAAGGGGCUCCUAACUCUGUGCCAGCAGGAGCGGUAAUACAGAGGCCCCGAGCGUUAUCCGGAAUUAUUGGGCGUAAAGGGUGUGUAGGUGGCGUUGUUAGUCGUUUGUGAAAGAUCCGAGCUUAACUUGGA
rnacentral:rRNA from 1 species